rnacentral:rRNA from 1 species
UAAGGAAUAUUGGUCAAUGGGCGCAAGCCUGAACCAGCCAUGCCGCGUGCAGGAUGACUGCCCUAUGGGUUGUAAACUGCUUUUGUUAGGGAAUAAACCUACUUAUGUAUAAGUAGCUGAAUGUACCUAAAGAAUAAGGAUCGGCUAACUCCGUGCCAGCAGCCGCGGUAAUACGGAGGAUCCAAGCGUUAUCCGGAUUUAUUGGGUUUAAAGGGUGCGUAGGUGGCUUAAUAAGUCAGGGGUGAAAGACAUCGGCUCAACCGAUGCAGUGCCUUUGAUACUGUUGAGCUUGAAUUAUGUUGAAGAUGGCGGAAUGAGACAAGUAGCGGUGAAAUGCAUAGAUAUCACGCAGAACUCCGAUUGCGAAGGCAGCAUACCGGCGCCCGACUGACGCUGAGGCACGAAAGCGUGGGGGAUCGAACAGGAUUAGAUACCC